CAAGUCUUUGCCAGGGAGCUG
rnacentral:miRNA from 1 species